GGUCAAAAGUUAACUGAAAAAAACCUUUCGAAAAGCUCUGAUAAAUUGUAUUGGCGUGGGAUUGUCAGAAUUACCUCAUUGCUGGCAUAUUGUUCCAAAAAAAUUCUCUAGAGCAUCUGUGAUUAAUCUUCUGUGUGGUACUAUUGACGCAAUCGAAAAGCGAAUCAUAUUUGAAAAGCAACUCAGCUGUACCCAAGGCUGAUGGUGGUAGUGCUCCAAUUGAUGAAUAUGUGCAAAUCGAUGCAGCAACGGUGUGGCUGAAUAUUUGUGCAGCAUAUUUAACUUGAAAAUUAAUCUGAAAAUUAAUGCAGCGACAGCGAUGUAACGAAAAUAACAAUAUAUAUAUAUUAAUAGAA